GAUGAACGCUGGCGGCGUGCCUAAUACAUGCAAGUCGAGCGAACAGAUGAGAAGCUUGCUUCUCUGAUGUUAGCGGCGGACGGGUGAGUAACACGUGGGUAACCUACCUAUAAGACUGGGAUAACUCCGGGAAACCGGGGCUAAUACCGGAUAAUAUAUUGAACCGCAUGGUUCAAUGUUGAAAGACGGUUUCGGCUGUCACUUAUAGAUGGACCCGCGCCGUAUUAGCUAGUUGGUAAGGUAACGGCUUACCAAGGCGACGAUACGUAGCCGACCUGAGAGGGUGAUCGGCCACACUGGAACUGAGACACGGUCCAGACUCCUACGGGAGGCAGCAGUAGGGAAUCUUCCGCAAUGGGCGAAAGCCUGACGGAGCAACGCCGCGUGAGUGAUGAAGGGUUUCGGCUCGUAAAACUCUGUUAUUAGGGAAGAACAAAUGUGUAAGUAACUGUGCACGUCUUGACGGUACCUAAUCAGAAAGCCACGGCUAACUACGUGCCAGCAGCCGCGGUAAUACGUAGGUGGCAAGCGUUAUCCGGAAUUAUUGGGCGUAAAGCGCGCGUAGGCGGUUUCUUAAGUCUGAUGUGAAAGCCCACGGCUCAACCGUGGAGGGUCAUUGGAAACUGGGAAACUUGAGUGCAGAAGAGGAAAGUGGAAUUCCAUGUGUAGCGGUGAAAUGCGCAGAGAUAUGGAGGAACACCAGUGGCGAAGGCGACUUUCUGGUCUGUAACUGACGCUGAUGUGCGAAAGCGUGGGGAUCAAACAGGAUUAGAUACCCUGGUAGUC
rnacentral:rRNA from 1 species